ensembl:snRNA U2 U2 spliceosomal RNA
UGUCCUCCAUCGGAGGUCUAUAUUGAGCAGAUUUUUGGUGUUUGGAGGUGGAACUGGAGCUUAUCCCAUCCCUUCCAUGCAUCGGCCUGGUAUUGCAGUGCUUCCAGGAGUGGUGC